rnacentral:rRNA from 1 species
GACGAACGCUGGCGGCGUGCCUAAUACAUGCAAGUCGAACGCAGUGGGGACGGGUGAGUAACACGUGGGUAACCUCCCAUCAGAGGGGAUAACACUUGGAAACAGGUGCUAAACCGAUACUGAUGGAUGGCCCCGCGGUGCAUUAGCUAGUUGGUGAGGGAACGGCCAACCAAGGCCACGAUGGAUAGCCGGCCUGGGAGGGUGAUCGGCCACACUGGGACUGAGACACGGCCCAGACUCCUACGAGAGGCAGGAGUAGGGAAUGUUCGGCAAUGGACGAAAGUCUGAACGAGCAACGCCGCGUGAGUGAAGAAGGUUUUCGGAUCGUAAAACUCUGUUGUUAGAGAAGCGGUAUCUAACCAGAAAGCCACGGCUAACUACGUGCCAGCAGCCGCGGUAAUAC